AUCUGAAACAAUAAUCAGAAGAGGUUGCCCCCCUUUCCCCCACAAGAAUCUUUUCACAUUUACACAUCAAAAUCACAGACAUUUCAUCUCAAAACAUCAAAAAAUCAGUAAUGUCUUAAUUCAUUUUAAAAUUAAUGCUAUUAAAACAUUUCUUAUAAAUACAUUUACAUAUAAAUGCCAAUAAAACAUUUUUCAUAAAUUAUAAAGAAUCACCCCCCUUUUGAUAGAAAACACUUUUUUUUUCUAAAAUGUGCUACUAUCAUACAACAAUUUUUUAAUUCACAUCAGCAUCUGCUUGUGACUGAGUUACAGUCGUUCAUGCAGUGAUGUGUCUGUCAAAGUGUAAACGUCUUCUUCUUUAUUUCCUUUCAAACAUUCCAGGUGAACCGUGCUUAGCAAUGUAUUUAAUGAUAAUUUCUUCCAUUUUUAAAAUCUUAUUGAACUGUAACAAUUCAAAAACUGCUCACAAUGUCUUGUUUCGAUGACUAUACGUUAUCUAGUUGCUUUAAGAUAACCAUUAGUCUAAUUCAGACACAAAUGAACUCCAUCGGGCCUUAAAUUUUACUACUCUAAAUAGUUAAAAAUUUAACACUGCCUCAGUACGUUGGGCAAAACCACACUGCUUUCUAUGUGCGUCAGACUCACUUCACUAUAGUGCACUUCAGUUAUUCUUUCAAAUAAUGUUUAGAAAUAAUCCUGUGACCACACUGCAUUGGGUCAUUUCAGUUACUUUAGAAUUUCAUCAGAAUUGUAACAACUCUACACUCAGUUUCAGUUACGUUAGAAACUUACCACUUUGUUUCAAUUACUUUAGAAACAACAAUUCUAAUACAACUCUGCCACCACACUGCGUUGGGUUGAUUCAAUUACUUUAGAAUCUUAACAGAAUUAUAAGAGACCAACACCAAGUUUCAGUUACUUUAGAAACUUUAAACUUAAGCACUUUGUUUCAGUUACUUUAGAAACAACAAUUCCAAUACAACUCUACCAACACACUGCAUUGGGCUGAUUCAGUUCCGUUAGAAUCUUAAACAAAAUUGUACAGAAUAGGCUUAAAAACUCCUCCUGCUAAUACUGAAUAAACCAAAUUCUCUUCUGUCCUUAAAACUUCCUGUCUAGAUUUUUUUUUUUUUUUAAACGUGGGGGUUUCCCUGACAAAAACCAGCAUAAAAAAAAGAAAACGGCUUUUUCUUACCUUUCCCCACUUUUUUGGAAAUCCCUCGAUGGGUUGUUCGCCAAUAUAACAAAAAUGAUGAGGACGUUGAAGAUCUCAAUGAAGAAGUUUAUUGCAGCAUAGCAGUGAUAAAGUACAUGAAGCACUUUGGAGUGGAAUCUGGGUCGAGGCAGACUACAAAUUCUUACAGCUGGAAACACCUGCUGAAUGUAGGAAGAGGAAAGGAAUUCAUUCUUUUGUUAAGAGAUUAUGGAAGGCUUUUUUGCAGCUUGUCAUCAAUCGGAUGCGCAAGUUUGACAACUUUCUUUAUGUUGAUAUUGUAAGCUGGCCAAAACCUGAAUGUGUAUUUAGUUAACCUGGGCAUCCUGAACCUCUCAUUACAGAAGUGGCGCUGCUGCCAAUGAUGAGGCGAGAACCCAUAAGCCACUACGUCAUACAACUAUACGAGUGGUUUGAACAUCCUCGAAAAUUCACUUUCGUUAUGAAGUACCCGUAACCCUGCGAGAGCAUUCUGGACUUCAUCAAUCGUAAUCGUCAACUGGAUGAAACAAUAGCAUGGGUCUUCAUGUGACAGGCUGUGCUGGCAGUACAACACUGCAUCGAGCAUGGUGUUUUUCAUAAUGACAUUCAUGCGGAGAAUUUCCUGUUGAAGCACACAUUUGUCACAGUUCCCUCCUGUCCCGGACUCCAUCUUCCAUCAUCCUCCCUGAUUCACACCUGUAUUCACUUCCUCAUUACCCUCCUGCUGAUCAUGAACUCCCUGCACCUGGACUUCAUUAUCUGCACACCCUUUAUAAUGGACUCACUUCCCUGCACUCCUUGUCUGUUCUCAUGUUGGCUUUAUUGUUUAGUUGUUCUGUUCCUUCGUUAAAUAAACCUGUUCAGUUAAAGGUGAAGUAUGUAAGACUUUUUAUAUAUAGCUCAAUGUAUAGCGAGAAUUUUGGGCGUGGUUACUGUAGCAGGCGGAGCCAUGGGAAAUGAAAUGCAGCUUUAGUUACAGAAGUGAAAUCCAAAAUUCGCUGCAUUUAUACCUUCAAAGAUUGAACAGGUCAUGAACACGUCAAUGUGAACACAAUAUUGUGAUACGACGCACUACAAAGCAUGCUUCAAUACCAUACAGCAUCAUCAUGCACCCAUUCAGAAAGCAAAUUAUCAUAAAGACAAAUGCAUCACAACUAAAAGUAUUCCUAUUAUGUUGGACCUGAAACAUGAAGAACCAGUUGGGUUAAAGAUUUAGUUCACCCAAAAAUUAAAAUUCUGUCAUUAGUUACUCACCAUCAUGUCGUUCUACACCCGUAAGACCUUCAUUCAUCUUCGGAGCACAAUUUAAGAUAUUUUUGAUGAAAUCCGAUGACUCAGUGAGGCCUCUAUUGCCAGCAGGACAAUUAACACUUUCAGUGCCCAGAAAGGUACUAAAAACAUAUUUAAAACAGUUCAUGUGACUACAGUGGUUUAGCCUUAAUGUUAUGAAGAGACGAGAAUACUUUUUGUGUGCGCCAAAAAAGCAAAUAACGACUUUUCAACAAUAUCUAGUGAUGGGCGAUUUCAAAACACUGCUUCAUGAAGCUUCGAAGCUUUACAAAUCUUUUGUUUCGAAUCAGUGGUUCGGACACCAAAGUCACAUGAUUUCAGUAAACGAGGCUUCGUUAUGUCUGAAGAUGAACGAAGGUCUUACAGAUGUAGAACGACAUGAGGGUGAAAAAUUAAUGACAUAAUUUUCAUUUUUGGGUGAGCUAACCCUUUAAGUUGGGGAAGAAGGUGCCUUUGCAAGGUUUUUUGAAAAUGUACUUUAUUUUGUAAUUCCGCUCGGUGCCACUAGUGUUGCAGAAACUACAUACUUCACUUUUAAAGUAAAGAUAAGGAACAUUUAUAUAUUACAUAUUAUAUAUUUAGUAUAUCAAUCAUGUUUUAGAUGCUGUUUUCAUAGAUGCCAAGUCACAUGGUCAUGACUAACCAGCUCUCUCCUUAUUAAAAUUGGUACAGAAUGCAGUGAUCUGAUUAGCCAGUGCCUAGCCCGGUAUCCAACUAAACAGCCAACGUUAGAGCAGAUGUUACAACAUAAAUGGAUUAGAAAAGAUCUAGAUUGGAGAAGUUCAGGAGAAUCACUUGAUCAGUGAUUUCAGGUGUGAGGAAGUAUAACAGACAGAGUAGAUUAUUAUCAUUUGUCUUCAAUUCUGGUUUAUUUGAAGUGAGAUUUUCAAAUUUGUGUUCAUUGUAAUGUUCUUGUUAUAGUCAAGUCAAGUCACCUUCAUUUAUAUAGUGCUUUAUACAAUACAGAUUGUUUCAAAGCAGCUUCACGGUAAUAAAUAGGAACAUAACAGAAUCAGUGAUGCAAACAGAAUUCAAUUCUGUUUUAAAUCCGCUCUAAAAAAAUCAUUCAUGAGUUGACUUGUUCAAUAAUCUUUGUAUUGCAUAGGAAAUAACAUACUUGCUGUCCUUGGUGGAGGGCUUGAGUUUGAAACUUGACCCAAAGCCUGAAGUCCAACCCCAACCUGACAGGGAACUCAGAGCCUGUCCACAUCUGAGCAAGAAAAUGAGAGACUGCAAGACUGGAAAGAAGUCAUCAAGUCAUCACAGCCACAUUUGCUUUGUUUUAAAAGUCAUUUUUGUUUUGUUUAUUUAUAUAGCGCCUUAUAUAUGACCAAUCUGUAUAUAUGACCCCUUUGAAUAAAUGCUUUCAAUGAAUACAAAAGAAGAAAUGCUUUUAAACAGUCUCAGCCUAUGAGCAACCUUUGAAGUGAAAAGGCAAAUACCUAUUUUGUGCUUCCCACAAUAAAUCUGUAAAUAAAAAUGUAAAUAAAAAUCUACAUGGUUGCAAA